rnacentral:lncRNA from 1 species
ACUUCGCAAGAGACGUUGAAGGGGAAGGCGAAGGUUGAAAUCUCAAACUCUCUAUUAUUUAAAAAGUUUUUAAUUCAGUUGCUCUAUUAUCAACAUGCAUAUAAAUUUAACUUGAAAUGGAAAUGUUUUUUUCUUACUGCGUAGUGACUUUAAGGAGAUGCUAUCCUGACAAUAUACUGACAAAUCCUAUGAUUACUUUGCAUAUAUUCAGUUCAGAAAUAGCAUUUCUAAAAUAAUAAAGGAACACUAUGUCAUUAUCAUUAUGCCCAAGACUUUGAAAACAACUUUUUGUAAGUUCCCUUUCUAAAUACGUUAUUGUUGUUUAAUUUUCUUUCUUCUCUUUUAGUGCAGAUCAUUAAACGUGUCUGUCUGUCAAAUGAAAACAUUCACAGCAAAACUGUUAGUCUGAGAAUAUUUAAAGUUUUAGGAAGUCAUUUAAUUAAUUGUAAUUAUGUAGAUAUAAAUAUAUAUCAAAACUAAAUCUGAAAGUUCUUUUGUUAUCGUGUCAAAAUGUCAUUUAUGUUGGCAUUAAAGUCAUGAUUUGUGACAUUUGCUCAACCAAAUACGGUUAAUACAAUACAUAUAAACAUAUCAGAAUUAAUUAUUUGUUUUGUCGGGGUUAAAGCCGCACCGAUAUACAGUUCAAAUCAUAUGGCAAUGACCUUCCAGCUUUAAACGGUGGAUGAAUGGAUGAAUACCCAGGUUUCACUCAGGACAUAAUUUCAGGCACAAACGGGCACCAGGACAGAACCAAGGUUCCUCCCCGCAAAGCAGCUGAUAACUAUAUUCCUUGACAAACCUAGCAUGGCUCGAUCUCACAAAGGUGAUGGGCAGAUGAUUCGAAAUCAACGACUUUAUCCAGUCCCCACGGAGGCAAUUUCCAUUAAUAUUACAUGUUAUUAGACUUUUAUCGAGAAAUAUGCAAGAGUUCUGCAACGAAAAUAUUGCGAUACUUUAGGAGGAGCACAAUAUGUUAUUCGGUGAAAAAGCAAAUAUAUACAAAAUGUAUUUAUCGACGAAAAUCUAAUAAUAUUUUUAUUACAUACACAUCUCCACUUGUUCCAGGCUCUAUUAUAAUGAAUUGAUAUAAAAUUAAAGAUAUUACAGUGGUGAAUAGUUUUACUAUGCAUAUUUCUUUUCAUAACCCGCCAGAAUUUAUAAUUUAACCCAUGAAAAUGUUGCAGUUGAUCACGCAACCGAAGAAAAGAAAAGAUUUGUAUAAAACUACAACUGGCCCCUGUUAUUUUUACCAAAUACCUUUGAUCUUCUUCUGUUUGUUUGUGUCAACGGACAUAGAAGUGUGACAUUUAGCAUAUCAAGAAAACUUUCAAAAUUAGUGGCGACGGCCACACUUUGUAUCCCAGUGCUGUUGUUGCAUGCAUCUUGUUCAAUUUCAUAUGGCUGUAUAACCACUUUGUUAAAGCCAAGAGAAUUAGACUGGCUGUUCUCUUUGUUAUAAAUAGUUACAGAAGUAACAUGCCCUUUCGUUUAAAACAUCUAUUCUGUUUCAGACAGGUCAUAAGCAGAAUCUUGCAAAGGCAUUUUUUUAAAGAAGUAACAUGCCCUUUUGUUUAAAUCCUCUAUUCUGUUUCAGAUGGGUCAUAAGCUGAAUCUUUCAACCUUUUUU